GUGAGGUAGUGGCUCACCAAGGCAACGACGGGUAGCUGGUCUGAGAGGACGAUCAGCCACACUGGGACUGAGACACGGCCCAGACUCCUACGGGAGGCAGCAGCAGGGAAUAUUGCACAAUGGGCGCAAGCCUGAUGCAGCGACGCCGCGUGAGGGAUGAAGGCCUUCGGGUUGUAAACCUCUUUCAGGAGGGACGAAGCGCAAGUGACGGUACCUCCAGAAGAAGCCCCGGCCAACUACGUGCCAGCAGCCGCGGUAAUACGUAGGGGGCGAGCGUUGUCCGGAUUCAUUGGGCGUAAAGAGCUCGUAGGCGGCUCAGUAAGUCGGCCGUGAAAGCCCAGGGCUCAAUCCUGGGAGGCCGGUCGAUACUGCUGUGGCUAGGGUCCGGUAGAGGAGAGUGGAAUUCCCGGUGUAGCGGUGAAAUGCGCAGAUAUCGGGAGGAACACCAGUAGCGAAGGCGGCUCUCUGGGCCGGUACCGACGCUGAGGAGCGAAAGCUAGGGGAGCAAACAGGAUUAGAUACCCUGGUAGUCCUAGCCGUAAACGUUGGGCACUAGGUGUGGCGGAUUCAUUGACAUCUGCCGUGCCGUAGCUAACGCAUUAAGUG
rnacentral:rRNA from 1 species